AACCUAGCUUGUGAACAAUCAAUGUAAAUAGCCAAGAAACACAAUUACAAAGUCUUACUUCAGUAGACUUUCGUUUCAAUAAAUUAGACCCAACGCUAAGCGCAGCGUUUCUGAAAAUGAAUCUUUCUCUCAGCCUUUCACUUGCGCCCAGUCCCCAGCCAGGCAGUAUUGCAUUAUGAGGUGAGAUAGAACUAUGAAUCCUAUACAGCCUUCGGCUUUGUGCGAUUAUUUUACCAGCUAUGAAACAAAACGGCAGAAAUACUUUGAGAAAAGUCCAACUGAAAAAUGUCAAUAGUAGGAUUCUUCUGCGAUGUCCUCAGCAUUUUUUCUGCGCUACCUACAUCUGGAAAAUUGCCUGGCCCUGUGCUUGAUGCUUGGUGUGAGAAAUGAGCAUGGUGAAGAGGGAGGGAUGGAAGAGGCACGCCGGCGGUGCAAGGCCCCCACACAGGGCUGAUCUGUGGUGCAGGCUCGGGGCUAACAGCGGCCUGUGGUGGAGCACUGUGGCGUGGCGUGGAGGGGAGGGGAAGGGAGGAGAUGUCUCAUGAACUGUCUCCAUCCCUGUGCUCAUCAUUAACCUCUCUGCACACGUCUCGCAACACAGCCCCCCGCACUCUUCGAUGCUCUGGAGCCUGAUGUUGUUGUCUCCAAGGAGCGUUCGGACUCAGCCAGGACCAGGUUUCAGCUGCUGCGCAAUGCUGACAUCCUUCCUCCCAUAGAUGGUCUGCCUGUACAAGCACCACCUGGACUGGACACAGCUAGACAAGCUUCCAUUUUUGAGAAGAGUUUUACAAUGAGGCUAUGAACAUCACAUGCCCUGCACCAAAGUCAAGGGCAGGACAGAAACAGGCUCUCCGAAUAUAGAUUCUCUUGUUCAUGCGUGGUUCGGACGGACCAGUUCAUCACUGUGGGCGAGUUCCCAGUCAUCAGCCCUAUCUGCAGUGCCUCUAUUCACAUGACUCUCUCAUAACACACACGCCAUACAUUGCUGCUACUAUUGAUUUUUUUAUCCUGCUGCUCAUCCACUUUACCCCUGAUUGUAUGCACAUAACUACCUCAUCUAUCACUGAUUGUCGCGUCCUGAUUUGUUUCACCUGUUCUUGUGCUCUUCUCCACCCCCUCCAGGUGUCGCCCAUCUUCCCCACUUAUCACCUGGGUAUUUAUACCUGUGUUUUCUGUCUGUCUGUGCCAGUUCGUUUUUUUUGUUCAAGUCAACCAGCGUUUUGUCUAAGCUCCUGUUCUUCCCCAGUCUCUCUUUUUCUCAUCCUCCUGGUUUUGACUCUAGCCUGUCCUGACCAUGUACCCGCCCGCCUGACCUCUCUGCCUGUCCCUGAGCCUGCCUGCAGCCCUGUACCUUGGCCUCUAAUCUGGAUGACCGACCCCUGCCUGCCUUGACUUGUUGUUUGCCUGCCCCUGUUGUUACAAUAAACAU